rnacentral:ribozyme from 1 species
AGAGAUACAGACACUCCAUAAAAAUAAGAAACAGAUAUGUUUGUUUUGUUCUUUUUUUGAUUCUUGUCGACCUUGUGUUUGCUGUUUCCUUGUU